AUUGAACGCUGGCGGCAGGCCUAACACAUGCAAGUCGAGCGGAUGAGAGGAGCUUGCUCCUUGAUUUAGCGGCGGACGGGUGAGUAAUGCCUAGGAAUCUGCCUGGUAGUGGGGGAUAACGUCCGGAAACGGGCGCUAAUACCGCAUACGUCCUACGGGGGAAAGCAGGGGACCUUCGGGCCUUGCGCUAUCAGAUGAGCCUAGGUCGGAUUAGCUAGUUGGUGAGGUAAUGGCUCACCAAGGCGACGAUCCGUAACUGGUCUGAGAGGAUGAUCAGUCACACUGGAACUGAGACACGGUCCAGACUCCUACGGGAGGCAGCAGUGGGGAAUAUUGGACAAUGGGCGAAAGCCUGAUCCAGCCAUGCCGCGUGUGUGAAGAAGGUCUUCGGAUUGUAAAGCACUUUAAGUUGGGAGGAAGGGUUGUAGAUUAAUACUCUGCAAUUUUGACGUUACCGACAGAAUAAGCACCGGCUAACUUCGUGCCAGCAGCCGCAGUAAAAC
rnacentral:rRNA from 1 species